CCUACGGGAGGCAGCAGUAGGGAAUUUUCGUCAAUGGGCGCAAGCCUGAACGAGCAAUGCCGCGUGAACGAGGAAGGUCUUCGGAUCGUAAAGUUCUGUUGAUGGGGAAAAAGAGCGGAGAGAGGAAAUGAACUCCGAUUGAUAUUACCCUUCGAGGAAGUCACGGCUACCUCCGUGCCAGCAGCCGCGGUAAUACGUAGGUGGCGAGCGUUAUCCGGAAUGAUUGGGCGUAAAGGGUGCGUAGGCGGCCUGCUAAGUCUGGAGUGAAAGGUACGGGCUCAACCGUUGUAGGCUCUGGAAACUGGCGGGCUAGAGUGCAGGAGAGGGCGGUGGAACUCGAUGUGUAGCGGUAAAAUGCGUAGAUAUAUGGAAGAACACCAGUGGCGAAGGCGGCCGCCUGGCCUGUUACUGACGCUGAGGCACGAAAGCGUGGGGAGCAAAUAGGAUUAGAUACCCUUGUAGUC
rnacentral:rRNA from 1 species